GAGUGUGACACUGAACAGGGUAACCCUCAUCUUACUGACUCAAGGAUCUCCUCCUAACUAAUGAACAUGGGCAACAAAUCAAAAUAUGGUGGAAACUUCAAGAGGUUUGUGGCCAAGACUGCAAGGAUCCUGGGAAAAUGAUUGUACAUUCACAUCAUGCCAUCAUCUAAGUACAUGGAAAAUGCUUUUAUAGGAUGCUGAAGAUUUGCCACCAAACUACAAGGGCUUUACAUCGCAUCUCCAACAAUCUCUGUCACUAACAAGCGAGGGAAGUGUCCUCUUUCCACCUGCAAUUUUAAGUGUGGAAACACCAAGAAAUCUGGUCAUGACCAGGCAGUUGUGGCAGUGACAACUUCUCCAUGGUUUAUUUCUGUUUCACAGUAUUUGGUAUCACAGGUAAAUUGUUUUAUAUCUCAAGAACUCUGUCUAGAGAAAUGCCAAAACAAAGCAAGGGUAAAUUGUAUAUGGAAACGUGGCCUUCCAAAUGCAUUUUCACUUCUCCCAGUGGUGGCAGCUGAGACAUCAGGAAUUUUUUAUAUUUCAAGUCCCUCUUAGGCUUGUCAAAUAAUCCAGUAUUUUCUAGAUUUAAAGCAUUUCAAUUUUAAAUCCAAAGUCCUUUUGAGUAAGAGGGUACCUAUGUACAAUAUCCAGUAGACAUUGGUAUGUAAUUUCAGUGUGCUCUUAAGAGUAAGUUAUCAAUUAGGCUACCAUAAUAUUCAUAACUGCAUAAUUUAGACCUGUUAAGCUCUGAAUGCAGAGAUCUUUUUUUCCUUAAAAUUGUAUUCUAGCUUGUAAUUAGUGUCUUGCAACAAUGGAAAGAUUUUUUUCUUUUCUCACCCUAAAAUCAAUUUUUUCUUCCAGUCUACUUAUAA
ensembl:lncRNA